rnacentral:rRNA from 1 species
GGGUCAGUAGGUUGGUCGUGCCACCGGUACGUACUGGUCUCACUGAUUCCUCCUUCCUGAAGAACCGUAAUGCCAUUAAUUUGGUGUUGCGGGGAAACAGGACUGUUACUUUGAAAAAAUUAGAGUGUUUAAAGCAAGCUAACGCUUGAAUACAUUAGCAUGGAAUAAUGAAAUAGGACGAUCGAUCCUAUUUUGUUGGUUUCCAGGAUUGACGUG